AGAUGGUUGAAUGGCAUCACCAACUCGAUGGACAUGAAUUUGAGCAAACUCUGGGAGAUGGUGAAGGACGGGGAAGCCUGGCUUGCUGCAGUCCCUGGGUCACAGAGUCAGACAUGACUCAGUGAAUGAAAAGUGCAAAGGUGAGGGGAUGGAGGCUCCUAGGGGUCAAGCAGCAUAUCCAACCAAGGUCACCCCCAAGAAGAGGUUUGAAGUUUGAUGCUGGUGACGCAGCUGAGACUUUCUCUGUGGCUCUGCAGCACAACUCUUGGAGAGCAGAUGGCAUCAUGUGGAAGCAAAUGUGAGCUCAGUUCACUGAGCCGCCUCCUCACAGGACUUGGCAUGCGGUAUAUUAUUUCCUGAUCAGGAAUUGAACUGCCUCCCCAUCAUUGGACGCACAGAGUUUUAACCACUGAACCACUAGGGAAGUCCCUGAGUUUGCUCUUAAAUGCUGAAUGCCAGAGGCCUCUAUGGGAUCCAAGAGGCAGGCUUUAACCUGGGCCCCUUCAGCCUGGAGGCACUGGAAGGGUUGACCAGGGAGAGCAUGAUGCAUGAGUGAAGAAGAGAAGAGGCUGGAGCCCAAGAGAAGUACGAGAGAAGCUCACCUGGCAGUAAUUCUGGGAAGACUUGGUUCACAGAGUCUGGAAGGGGAUGGGGAUUCAACGAAGUAGCAUAGAGUGGCUGAUGCCAGAGAGAGGCCAGGAUGGGUGAGGACUGAUGGAGGUGGCUCCUAGGAGAUGAGCAGUGAGGCUGGAAAGAGCGCUGUCUGUCAGGGUGGGUGGUGCUGAAAGAGACCACAGGAUGGUGUGAGGAGGUGGGAUGGUGUCUGGAAUCACACUGGCCACAGCAGGAACAGCGGCGUACCCAGAGUGAAAACAGUGGAUGAUGGUGGUUAGAGACGAAGGGACUUGAGAGUAACUGAUGCUGAAGGAAAGGAUUCAGUGUGCGGUACUUUGUGAUGGUUUGAGCUCUGCCACCUUCUGAAGACCUGAUGGAAGCUCUGAGAUCCACCCUCAAACUUUACCCCCUACAGACAGAGUUUACAUCCUGUGGUGCAGAGUUCACACACCCUGUGAAACCUACCGGGACUCCAGGAGGAGCUGCAGGGUCCUUCCCCAGGAGAGAAGGUGCUGGGAGGUGGGGAGACAGUGGCGCUGAACUGGGGACACUCAGGUCUUUCCUUGGAGCCCUUGCUUCCUUCUCUCAUUCAAGGCCACGCUUCCCUCUUUCACUAGGACUGUUCCCAUUUUAUAGGCAGAGAGACUAAGGCACCAGGACUGGGGUUAGGGGUUAUUCUGAUUAACUCCCUGCAGCAGAGGCAGGAGGCAGCCCCGGACUGGGAGUCGCAUGGACUAAUUAGCCUCUAAUUGAGUUCCCUCUCCUUCCUCUCUGGCAUCACAGUGACAUUAAAUUACAGGAUUCAAACAUAUAAUUUCCUAAACUUAAAUGUGAUUUAUCUUAAUAGGACUUUGUACCAGGUCACUUUAUCAUGUACAGUGUCAGAGACCAGAUCUAUUAUUCACAGGGACUAUUAGGGAAUCAGAGACAGUGGAACUUGGAGAGACCUUGAGAGGUCAGCUUGUGUUCAACUCCGUGGCCCCCAGCCCAGCUGCCCCCAACCCUGGGCAGCCCCUCGCCCCAUGCUGGUGGCCUGUGGAUGGAUAGCUGGGUUGAAGUGUGAGCAGAAGGGGAGAGACCCAACCUUCAUAAACCGGACAUCCUGCCUGGGGUCCAGCUCAAAGCUUUGUUGCUGUGAAUCAUCGCCUCAAUUUCAUAGACUAUGCAUAUAAUGCCGGCCCUACAUCCACGUACCUUCAUUCUGUCUGGCCAGUCACUGAGCUGGGUGGUUCAUUAGAGAAAUGGAUCAGAGUAAGAAUAUCUCAGAGCAAGAAAAGGGCUGGUGUAUUAUAUCACUGAUUAACUCAUCAGUUCAUUUGCUCAGUCAUCACGUAGUUUAGAAAGGCCAGCCUUGCUGUACAGAUGGAGAAACACAAACCGAGAGAGGAGAAGUGAUGUGCCCGAGAGCAGAAGCAAAGCUUCGAUUCAAACCCAGGCUUCUGCAGGCCAGACCAUCUUGUCCUGUCUCCAGCUGCCCACCAGCUGACAUGUGCUCUUGGCAGGUGGCCAUGGGGGAGUAGAAGGCUGAUGUUUAUCUCCAUGAUGAAUGGAAUUCCACUUGGCAACUUGAUCUUCAGCCUUUGUGACUUUGGGAAGACAGGGGGUGAUCAAAAGAAUAUAUUUUUCUAAUGAAAGACACCUUUGGAAAUACAAUAUACCGCUCUGUCAGCCUCCCGAGUCACGGGAGGAGAGAUGGGGAAGAUCUGUGGUGAGCAAGGCUGCCAUUGACAAGUUGAUCUAAACGUGUGCGGGCCAUCCAGUCUCUGGAGCACCAGCCAGACUCUUGAAAUUGUGCUGAAGAAGUUCAAACACAGAGGGGUAGGGCUCACACGCAGUUCUGAGCUGCAGGUCUGGACCCAGGCCACUGGAGCUUGAACCCUGAGUCAGCCUGACCGCUUAAUAGCCCUGUGCCCGGCCAGGCAAAGAUUAUGAUACUCACUGUCUUGGUUUCCUGUUCUGUAAAACUGGAAUAGGUGGACUUAGCUCAUCAGGUUGUUUUGAGGAUAGUGGAGAUAAAGCAUGUAAGAUGUGUAGUGUGGGGCUGGUUAGAUACAAUGUGAAUCCCCUCCCUGUAAUGCUGGCUUUUAUUAAACACGCAGUUACCUGCUUUUCCCAAAUCAAGAAUAGACAGAGCUGGGCACAAUCUUCUUGGGGCAGCAUUUGCCUCACUGGUGAUCGCAGACACGUGCUUCUGAAUUAAGGGGAAGGGAAGGGGAAGCCCCUUGAGACCUGCGUCUUCUCAAGCCCCAUCCUCGUGGGACCCAGGUUUCUAGCUCAUAAAAUGAGGAAAGGAAGCCCUUUUAGUUUUCCUGUUCCCAGUUGUGGAGUGAGGUAGGUUCCCAUGUGUCAGGAGCAGCGUGGGGAUCAGGGAGGUUAAAGGCAGUUUAGACCCAGACAUUACAGUCUGAAUAUGGCUGAGAUGGGUGCUUGUUUUCCAUCUGUGACAGCCACAUGGAUAAACUGCUGUUUGGAGGGGGAGAUGAUGUGGGGGUACCAGUGGUGGAGGGGCACCAAUGUGCAAGGGCAGCUUAAUGGAUUCUGGUCAGGAGGGGCUUCAGGGAGGAGGUGACAUUUCAGCUGACGGUUGAAGGAGGUGGAGGUUCUGAGUUUUUAACUUAGUUUGACAAAGAUGGGAAAGUACCUGGAUUACUGGAAACUCAGUGAGAAGGGACGGGGUCUUAUAGGUUUGAAGUGUGUGUGUGUGUGUGUGUGUGUGUGUGUAGCUUGGUUAAGGCAGCAAGACAAGAUAGGGAGGAAGCCUGGUGCAAGUGGGGCUGGGAGAGAGGUGGCACUGAGGGUGUGUGGCAAGCUUGGCAUUUACUGCCUCAAAUCAACAAGUCAUCACAGAAUAGGCAGCUGAUCCAUCAGGGGUGGUCCCGGAGGCUGUGAUGCUUAAGCAGGGAGCUGAAGGCCUGGGGAUGGCUGGACAGGCGGGGAGAAGCACAAUCAUGAAAUCCCAGGGCUUGCAGAGGAUAGAGAGACAGCCCGAAGGACAGUCAACCGUGUCCCCCUCAGCCCUGAGUUGAGGGUAAGAACGGAAGCAGGUGGUCGAGAUAACGCAUGGAUCGCAGUUGGAGUCAAAUUGUUCAGCACCCUACAAGCCCUGCAGCCACCAGGAUCCAAAAGACAGCUCGCCGGCAGGGAGCUGAUGGGGUUUCUUUGGCUCCAAGCCCCUCCCCAGCUGACUCAGGCCCGCAGACGAUGCUAUUUGGUUGAUUGGCCCUUGACUACACAUCUGUCUACCUGGGCACGGAGGAUGCCGGCCAUCACUGAGGAUGUUAAAUGCAGAUUUGUGGCUCAGUCUGUGGAAUCCAUUCGGCAUGAAGAGAGUAUGAUAUUACCCAAUGUUUAUGGAUGGCUGUGUCUAAAAUAUCCAUUCUGAAGUCCACUGAAGGAUGAAAUUCCUUGUUACUUUCGUAGAUUCUCUUGUCUUAUUUCCCCCUCUCUGCAGAGGAACAUAAAGCAUUAGUAUUUUUA